rnacentral:tRNA from 1 species
AAAAGUAAGCUAAGACUUAAGCUCAUGGGCUCAUACCCCAUUUAUAGAGGUAACUCUCUUCUCUAGUG